rnacentral:rRNA from 1 species
AGAGUUUGAUUAUGGCUCAGGAUAACGCUAGCGACAGGCCUAACACAUGCAAGUCGAGGGGCCACGCAAGUGGCGACCGGCGCACGGGUGAGUAACGCGUAUGCAACCUGCCUACUACAAGGGGAUAACCCGUUGAAAGACGGACUAAUACCCUAUAACAGGGUAUCCGCAUGGAUUAUUUGUUAAAGAUUUAUCGGUAGUAGAUGGGCAUGCGUUCCAUUAGCUUGUUGGUGAGGUAACGGCUCACCAAGGCAACGAUGGAUAGGGGAACUGAGAGGUUGAUCCCCCACACUGGAACUGAGACACGGUCCAGACUCCUACGGGAGGCAGCAGUGAGGAAUAUUGGUCAAUGGACGAGAGUCUGAACCAGCCAAGUCGCGUGAAGGCGGUACGUUGACUUCUUUUGUAAGGGCGCCACCUUACGAAUAAGGAUCGGCAACUCCGUGCCAGCAGCCGCGGUAAUACGGAGGAUCCGAGCGUUAUCCGGAUUUAUUGGGUUUAAAGGGUGCGCAGGCGGCAUGUUAAGUCGGCGGUGAAAUUUUGCAGCUCAACUGUAAAAGAGCCUUCGAAACUGGCAAGCUUGAGUGUGGAUGAAGUAGGCGGAAUUUGUGGUGUAGCGGUGAAAUGCAUAGAUAUCACAAAGAACACCGAUUGCGCAGGCAGCUUACUAAACCUAACUGACGCUCAUGCACGAAGGCGUGGGGAUCAAACAGGAUUAGAUACCCUGGUAGUCCACGCAGUAAACGAUGAUUACUGGCUGUUUGCGAUACAGUAAGCGGCUGAGCGAAAGCGUUAAGUAAUCCACCUGGGGAGUACGUUCGCAAGAAUGAAACUCAAAGGAAUUGACGGGGGCCCGCACAAGCGGAGGAACAUGUGGUUUAAUUCGAUGAUACGCGAGGAACCUUACCCGGGCAAAUGAUCUGACGUAUUCGGAAACGGAUAUUUACGCAGAUUGAGGUGCUGCAUGGUUGUCGUCAGCUCGUGCCGUGAGGUGUCGGCUUAAGUGCCAUAACGAGCGCAACCCUCAUCGUCAGUUACCAUCAGGUAAAGCUGAGGACUCUGGCGAGACUGCCAUCGUAAGAUGGAGGAAGGUGGGGAUGACGUCAAAUCAGCACGGCCCUUACGUCCGGGGCGACACACGUGUUACAAUGGGUGGUACAAAGGGCAGCUACCUGGCGACAGGAUGCUAUCUCCAAAACCACUCUCAGUUCGGAUCGGAGUCUGCAACUCGACUCCGUGAAGCUGGAUUCGCUAGUAAUCGCGCAUCAGCCACGGCGCGGUGAAUACGUUCCCGGGCCUUGUACACACC